AGCGAACGCUGGCGGCAGGCCUAACACAUGCAAGUCGAGCGCCCAGCAAUGGGAGCGGCAGACGGGAUAGUAACACGUGGGAACGUACCCUUCAGUUCGGAACAACCCAGGGAAACUUGGGCUAAUACCGAAUACGUCCGUAAGGAGAAAGAUUUAUCGCUGAAGGAUCGGCCCGCGUCUGAUUAGCUAGCUGGUGAGGUAACGGCUCACCAAGGCGACGAUCAGUAGCNGGUCUGAGAGGAUGAUCAGCAUCACUGGGACUGAGACACGGCCCAGACUCCUACGGGAGGCAGCAGUGGGGAAUAUUGGACAAUGGGCGCAAGCCUGAUCCAGCCAUGCCGCGUGGAUGAUGAAGGCCCUAGGGUUGUAAAGUCCUUUCGACGGGGAAGAUAAUGACGGUACCCGUAGAAGAAGCCCCGGCUAACUUCGUGCCAGCCGCCGCCGUAAU
rnacentral:rRNA from 1 species